AUUGAACGCUGGCGGCAGGCCUAACACAUGCAAGUCGAACGAGUGGCGGACGGGUGAGUAAUGUCUGGGAAACUGCCUGAUGGAGGGGGAUAACUACUGGAAACGGUAGCUAAUACCGCAUACCAUCAGAUGUUCCAAGACGGGAUUAGCUAGUUGGUGGGGUAACGGCUUACCAAGGCGACGAUCCCUAGCGGGUCUGAGAGGCGGACCAGCCCCACUGGAACUGAGACACGGUCCAGACUCCUACGGGAGGCAGCAGUGGGGAAUAUUGCGCAAUGGGCGCAAGCCUGAUGGAGCCAUGCCGCGUGUAUGAAGAAGGUCUUCGGGUUGUAAAGUACUUUCAGCGGGGAGGCGUUACCCGCAGAAGAAGCACCGGCUAACUCCGUGCCAGCAGCCGCGGUAAUUC
rnacentral:rRNA from 1 species